GGUCCCCGCGCCCGGGCCGGGCCCGCGCCGCCCGCAGCGCCCGGGGCUCCCCCGCGCCGUUCUGCCUCCUAACUCUUCGCAGGCUCCUAGUGCCACUCUCCUUGCAGCUGCUUAAUCGCUCCUUUUAGCGCUUCAGAACCGCGUGCCCUCCGUGUUGCAUGAAAAGAGGCACAUUCCUGACUUAAACUUGCUCUGGGCUGCAUCCGCGCAGUGCUGCCGCGGAGUGUGGAUUCGCGCGUGGAGAUCGCAUUCCUUCUUUGCGGUGGUUUCCAGCACCGCGGAGCUUGUGACCGCAGAGUUUGGGUUCGUGCAGUUGUCGCUUGAAAGUGUCAAUUCGAUCUUGAGGAGUCUCCCUUUUAGUGCGUGAAGAUCGUCAGUGAAACCUGCGAAAAGCACGGUCCGGCUCUCGCUGUCUCAGAGGUUUUUGCCUGUGAUUAGAGCAGCCCCAGAUCCCCUCAGGCUAAAAGCGAGCUCUGUGCCAGUCAAGUCGUUGUUACGGCUGUUUGCUUAAGAAGAACCACCAGAACCUGGUGAUGCUCGAUUCUUGGUAGCUGAUGUAGGAGACCAUUGCAGUAUGACUUGAACAGCACAUUUAAGAAGAGAUCCAACUUGCACUUUCAGAGUGACAGAACAGUUUUGCAGUGAAAAAAGGAAAGAUUGAGGAAAUAAACUCUACAGCUAUUACUGGUUAGUAGUGUUUGGUUUUGUCCUGGCUAACAGAAGUAUGUGAAAAGUGUUUAAGCAAACACUAUUAAAGGUUAUCCUUGUCUUUCCUUGGCUGUGAAACAGCUGAACCAGUCAUUGUGGUGUUUCAUUUAUAGUGAUUUAGUAAUGAAUCCAUAAAUUCAGACAAGGAAAAACUUACAUUUUAAGCAAGUUUUUCCAUACCUUUUGACCCAUCAGAUCCCUUACAUCUUCCAGAAAAGCAAUCCUGUGACCUAGUUCUUGUGUGCUGUUUCUCUACACGUAAACGAACAUUUUCAGGAAGUUUGACAACUGUGUAGUCUAAUUUUUAGUUUGAGGAGUCUAUUGGUUACAUUUAAUAAACAUUCCACCUGCAAAGCAGUGGAAGAAAUUUAAGCUGCAAAUGCUUGACUGCCUACAAUAAGCUGGUGUGGUACAGAUAAUUUUAAAGCUAUUUUCUAACAGUUCUGCAACAGACAGAGCAAUUGUGCCGUGGCUGGGCCAGUUACCACCAUCACAGCAUGAAGGAGGGGUGGUUUGACCACGGCUUCAGUGUCACAAGCAGCUAGGUCAAUGCAACAGACCCUACUAUUUGUGGAAAGGAAGAGGCCUUGCUGCCUUCUCCUUUCUCAUCCCCUGUCCCCUGGGCCACACAGUUCCUCUGGUGCUUGUCAGGCUGCUUCAUGGACGGGUUCAACUUGCUAAGCCCGCACAAAGCUCUCCGCUUCUC